rnacentral:lncRNA from 12 species
CUUUAUCUCAUAUAUUUAUAUGACAAUGUGGUGGCUAAUAUAUGUAAAUCAGUUAUGGAUGUCAUAAUGUUUGGCACAUGGUAGGUGUCAGAACAUGUGGCAUCACCAUGAUCAUUACUGGCGUCAUUAUCACCAGGCUCAAUCUUGUGAAUGAGGCAUCUUUUUAAUUGACUUAAACUUUCAUAGGACACUCAAUAGAGAUUUUGAAGUGCCCCUCAUGUUUCUCCUUCUAUAUUCUGAGCCAGUUGAAGGGGAUGAUCGAAACAACAGCUUUAUAACUAAUAAAGCUAGGUUGGACGAUCCUACUUAAACGUGCAACUGAAAUCAGGAUUUCUGCUCUUUGCCCAGUGGAAUCGACCUCUCCACUCUACAGUCCAGAUUUCUUUCCUUUGUCGGCAGAGCCUACUCUAAUAGACUUAUCACGUGGAGCAGAGCAGAGUGUUUGUAUGCAGAGGCAAGCUAGAGGGAGGGGAGAGUGCAUCAAGAGGAGUUUGAGCUACACCUCGAGAGCUUCUGAGCUUUUUCUCAGUCUCAUCCCUAAAAUGAACCAUUCUUCUUCUCCAGUAAAAAUAUGAAUGAGAGAAUGUGGAUAUCUUUCCCCUAAAUCCAUUCCCUCUUGGGGAGGGCAGUGUAAAUUCCUCCUUCUCAGUGAGAUUGCAAGAUGUAAGGAGGUAAAGCCACACCUAUCAAUCUGGACUGACAUGACACACUUUAGACCCAGCAAGCCUCUCCUAACCCUACUUUUUUUCUGGAUCAUUAAAUAAGACUUAAAUUUCUUGUGCUUGAUAAUUUACUAUCUGGAAAAUGGGGUUUUGAUGGACAGCACUUCUCUCUUGCCGCAAUAGUUUGAAGAUUAAGGAAUAUAACUGCCUUGGAGAUGCUCCAAGAACUUCACAUAAAAGGGGCCAUUAUGUUCAGGUAUCAUGGACUAGAUUAUGGGUCUUGUAGAAUGCUAACAAUUUUAAUAGCUAGUUUGUUUUUCUUUAGCAAUGAUUCCUUCUGAUAUUUUCCAUUUUUAAUCAGGCAGAAUGUUAUCUCCAAAUUUCCUUUGUUUGUCA